ACACAAAAAGAACACAAGACACGCAAAAGCGGAUCGAAAAAUAGAAGAGAACUCAUUCUGUGAGGGUUCGUGCAUUCUCUUCUUUUCCGUUUCUUCCUUUUCUUUUUGUCAUUCCUUGACUUUCUUUUGUUUUGUGUAC
rnacentral:ribozyme from 1 species